UACGAAGGGGGCUAGCGUUGUUCGGAAUUACUGGGCGUAAAGCGCGCGCAGGCGGUCUUCCAAGUCAGUGGUGAAAGCCCGGAGCUCAACUCCGGAACUGCCAUUGAAACUGUUAGACUUGAGGAGGAGAGAGGUGAGUGGAAUUCCCAGUGUAGAGGUGAAAUUCGUAGAUAUUGGGAAGAACACCGGUGGCGAAGGCGGCUCACUGGCUCAUUACUGACGCUCAGGCGCGAUAGCGUGGGGAUCAAACAGG
rnacentral:rRNA from 1 species